CGGAGAGGGCGCCUGAGAAAUCGCUACCACAUCUAAGGACGGCAGCAGGCGCGCAAAUUACCCAAUCUCAAUACGAGGAGGUAGUGACAAGCUAUAGUGACUCCACACUAUUUAGUGGGGAGGUAUUGUCUUUUGACGAUUUUCCAUGAUUUGGGUGUAGAUAACCCUUAGAGUAGCCAUUGGAGGAAAAGUCUGGUGCCAGCACCCGCGGUAAUUCCAGCUCCAAGAGCGUAUAUUAAUACUGCUGUAGUUAAAACGCCCGUAGUAUACCUAAGAGUGUGCGUGUAGUAAUUAGUUUUGUCAGAGGACGGUCGGCGAGUGUUUAUCACACUUGCUUGCUUACUUUUGGCAAACUUCAGUCGGGCUGGAUCUUUGGUCCUCGUCUGACAGUUGCUGCGCGUGUACUUGUCCACGGUUCAUCCGUGAGGCCCAUUUGGGUUGCAACUGUAAAUAAAUCGUUGUGCUUAAAGCGGGCUAUGAUACUCUGCCAGAGCGAUUUAGCAUGGGACUGUAGAGUAGCUGUAUUUGAGUGAAGGUUGUACUUCGGUAUGGCUGGAUCUUGGUACAGCGCUUGUAAUGGAGCUCAGGGUGAGGCCCCGGGUACCAUGAGGCUAGAGGUGAAAUUCUGAGACCCUCAUGUGACCAACUAAGGCGAAAGCUGUCGUGGGCCACCACAAGCUCGUCUAUCAGGGACGAAAGUUGGGGGAUCGAAGACGAUUAGAUACCGUCGUAGUCCCAACUAUAAACGAUACCAACCGAAUAUUUGGGAAGACACUAUCCCAGCGAUCUUCUCAGAACUCAAGGGAAACCUUAAGUCUUUGGGUUCUGGGGGGAGUAUAGUCGCAAGACCGAAACUUAAAGGAAUUGACGGAAAGGCACCACCAGGAGUGGAGUCUGCGGCUUAAUUCGACUCAACACGGGGAAACUCACCAGGUCAGGACACAAGUUUGAUUGACAGGUUAAUAGCCCUUUCUUGAUUGUGUGGUGGGUAGUGCAUGGCCGUUUCCAGUUCGUGGAGUGAUCUGUCUUGUUAAUUCAGAUAACGAACGAGACCUAAGCCUUUAACUAGCCGUAGGCCUUUUCCUUCGGGGAAGGGUUAGUUUGUCGGAACAGGUUUCGGCCUGUUCCAAAACCUACGAGACUUUUGUCAGCUUCUUAAAGGGACUUCAUUCGUAAACUAGGAUGAGGAAGAUUUAGGCCAUAACAGGUCUGUGAUGCUCUUAGAUGUCCUGGGCUGCACGCGUACUACAAUAACGGUACCAGCGAGCGCUAUGGUUUUAUAACCCCUUAUCCUAAUAGGAUUGGGAAAACUUUUCAAACACCGUUAUGACAGGGAUCGAGGAUUGGAACAUCCUCGUGAACGAGGAAUUCCUAGUAAGCGUGGUUCAUCAUACCACAUUGAUUACGUCCCUGCCCCUUGUACACACCGCCCA
rnacentral:rRNA from 1 species